rnacentral:lncRNA from 1 species
ACCAAAACCAAAAACUACUUCUCUUCAAAUUCAGAUAGAAAUUCGAACAUCGAAUUUCAAUCUUAAAAAUAGAAGAUACAUUAAAGAAGCUAUAUAUUAGGUAAUGAUGCAGCAGCUAAGUACUAGUAGAACAUCUGGCGUUAGGACAUCAUUCAAUAGCUUAGUCGUAUUAGGAUCAGUAGUUAGUCGUAUUAGGAUUGCAUUUUCAGCACACAUUCAGUCUUUAUAAUUACAAGUUCAAAAUGUUUUCUGGAAACAAAAACUCUAUUUCUACGAAAGGCAUGUACACUGUUCAAAUCUUAGUCAUACAUAAUAUAUCCUCUCCAGUUUCCACCAAAUGCAAUUUCCCUUGCCAAUCAUGACACUUAAACACAUCUAAGAGAAGUCUGCUCCAAUCUACCAUCUCGACAAGGUCCAUCUCAUUGUUUCAACCAAGAAUCUGAAACAUAGGAUAUGGUAAAAAGUAUUAUUGGAGAAGCAACUCGUUACAAAUAACCACCAAAAAAAGUUUUUUAGUACAAAGCAAGACCUAUUAAGAUGAGGUGGUAUAGGCCUAAGGACAUUUCAGAGCCAAUGAGGCACUCUUUUAUAUUAAAUUCAAGACGACAUAGCAGUCUUUUUCUUAAAUUGCAAAUGUUUCAAUGAAUUAUCCUCUGUUGUGAAGAGAAAUAACGAGCAGUGUGCAUACAAAAACUGACUUACCUUGUAUUUUUCUGCUUUGUACAACCAGUCUCCUGAAAAAGAAAUAGGAAAAACAAAAUAAUGUCAAAAANNNN